rnacentral:rRNA from 1 species
ACGAACGCUGGCGGCGUGCCUAAUACAUGCAAGUUGAGCGCUGAAGGUUGGUACUUGUACCAACUGGAUGAGCAGCGAACGGGUGAGUAACGCGUGGGGAAUCUGCCUUUGAGCGGGGGACAACAUUUGGAAACGAAUGCUAAUACCGCAUAAAAACUUUAAACACAAGUUUUAAGUUUGAAAGAUGCAAUUGCAUCACUCAAAGAUGAUCCCGCGUUGUAUUAGCUAGUUGGUGAGGUAAAGGCUCACCAAGGCGAUGAUACAUAGCCGACCUGAGAGGGUGAUCGGCCACAUUGGGACUGAGACACGGCCCAAACUCCUACGGGAGGCAGCAGUAGGGAAUCUUCGGCAAUGGACGAAAGUCUGACCGAGCAACGCCGCGUGAGUGAAGAGGGUUUUCGGAUCGUAAAACUCUGUUGGUAGAGAAGAACGUUGGUGAGAGUGGAAAGCUCAUCAAGUGACGGUAACUACCCAGAAAGGGACGGCUAACUACGUG